rnacentral:rRNA from 1 species
GUAGGUGGCAAGCGUUGUCCGGAAUUAUUGGGCGUAAAGCGCGCGCAGGCGGUUCUUUAAGUCUGAUGUGAAAGCCCACGGGCUCAACCGUGGAGGGUCAUUGGAAACUGGAGAACUUGAGUACAGAAGAGGAAAGCGGAAUUCCACGUGUAGCGGUGAAAUGCGUAGAGAUGUGGAGGAACACCAGUGGCGAAGGCGGCUUUCUGGUCUGUAACUGACGCUGAGGCGCGAAAGCGUGGGGAGCAAACAGGAUUAGAUACCCUGGUAGUCCACGCCGUAAACGAAGAGUGCUAAGUGUUAGGGGGUUUCCGCCCCUUAGUGCUGCAGCUAACGCAUUAAGCACUCCGCCUGGGGAGUACGGCCGCAGGGCUG